CCUACGGGUGGCAGCAGUGAGGAAUCUUGGUCAAUGGACGAGAGUCUGAACCAGCCAAGUAGCGUGAAGGAUGACUGCCCUAUGGGUUGUAAACUUCUUUUAUAUGGGACUAAAAUGUUCCACGUGUGGGAUUUUGUAUGUACCAUAUGAUUCAGGAUCGGCUAACUCCGUGCCAGCAGCCGCGGUAAUACGGAGGAUCCGAGCGUUAUCCGGAUUUAGUGGGUUUAAAGGGAGCGUAGGUGGAUUGUUAAGUCAGUUGUGAAAGUUUGCGGCUCAACCGUAAAAUUGCAGUUGAAACUGGCAGUCUUGAGUACAGUAGAGGUGGGCGGAAUGCGUGGUGUAGCGGUGAAAUGCAUAGAUAUCACGCAGAACCCCGAUGGCGAAGGCAGCGCGCCGGCGCCCGACUGACGCUGAGGCACGAAAGCGUGGGUAUCGAACAGGAUUAGAUACCCUAGUAGUC
rnacentral:rRNA from 1 species